rnacentral:lncRNA from 1 species
UUUUUAUUUUUUUUGUCUUUUUAGGGCCACACCCACAGCAUAUGGAGGCUCCCAGGCUAGGGGUCAAAUUGGAGCUGUAGCCGCUGGCCUACGCCACAGCCACAGCAACACCAAACCUGAGCCAAGUCUGCAACCUGCACCACAGCUCACAGUAACGCGGGAUCUUUAACCCCCUGAGCAGGGCCAGGGAUGGAACUCACAUCCUCAUGGAUACUAGUCAGAUUCGUUUCUGCUGAGCCAAGAUGAGAACUCCUAAGACCCAACAUUUUAAAGCCUCAGUUUCUCUCUGAAACCUGGAGCGAUCGGAGUGCUUACUUCAUCAUGACGUUGAGAGGAUGAAAAAAGAAAGCAUCAAAAUUUCACUGGCAUCAGUAUUUCACUGGCACAAAGGGAGGGUUCAGCAUUUGUGAUGAUCUCUGCCUGCCCUUGCUCUCCCAUUCAAGCAUUUAUUCAGUAAGUACUCACCAACAGUCUUGAGAGGGUACAGUGAAAGAAACACAGAUACAAGUAAAGGCCUAAGUGCAGGAUUGGGCUCUGGUGGAUAAAGAUGCUUCCAGGGACCAGCCAAAUGCUUUACGGGAGAUUUGCUCUAGUUCUGGCUUUAGACUGCUGGACACUCCAGCCGCUUCAACCCACCCCAAUAUACACAUUAUCUUUUCUGCGCCAUGUGUGAGUUUGAAAUUUCUCAGAUUACUCUCAAAGUGACCUUGGGCAAAUCCCAUAACUCAUCUCAGCCCCUGGCACAUAUGUAACAGAUAUGUGAAUAUGCACAGCACCCAAGUUUUGUAGUAGAGGUGAGAAGCCAAGCCCGCACUUGGCUGAUACCCCAGAACUUUGAGCUGCGUUCCUCCCACCACUCCCUCUGCCUGCCAAUCCUCUAUUACUAUGUGCCAAGCUUGGGCUUGAGGCUAGUUGGUCAACAGACUCAUGAGAAGCUAGCCCUGCCCAUAGAGAGCUUAAAGUUUGCAGGGGGGAUGGAGGGCGCUCAACAUGUGCACCUCCAGCCCUAAUAGAGAGAGGGCUAAGGACUGUGAUGGAAUUACGUACAAUGCAAUGUAGGAAUGCCAGGAAGGGCAAAUCCCUUCAUGGCCCUCAGUUUCUUCAUCUGUCAAAUGGGUGUAAUUCGUUUCCACCUCCCAUGAGAUGACUUAAGGGAGUUAGUAAAUGUGAAAGUAUCUGUUGGAAAGUUUAGUUCUGUGCCAGUGUUUCUAUUUAUUUCCCUAUUUCUCCAUUAGAAGUCAAGCCUCUGGAGCGCGAGCCUAUGUCUUACCCAUUCCCCUCUUCCCAGCACAUUGACACAGAGCAUGGACCAGUCAACAGUGGCUGAAUGAACCAACGGAAGAAUUUAUUAUCUGAUUUUAUUUUCCCAACCUCAGAGAGGUACACCCAUCUUAUAGGUGGAGAGAAAAUACUAUACAGGGUUCAACAAGCUGCUUGGCAGCCAAUGACUGGAGCCUCUCAGACCUGUUCUGAUGACCUUUCUACUAGAUUCACAACCCAGGCCACUGGCUUAGGUAGGAAGGUAGGAAGGCACUGCUCUGCUGAACAUGACUCACCCUUCUCCUUGAGUCAUGGAGCCAAUCCCAUCAGCCUCUCUGCUGAGUCCUGGGUGGAGGUGAAGCUGGGACUUGAGGAGAAAGCAGAGCUAUCCUGCUGGACCGGUGUGCCCAGGGAUCCCUCAGGCCACUAAGUACAUUGCCUGGGAAAUCCCUCAUUUGGGGGUGAUGAUGGGGUGAGUACGCAGAUGUCACACUGGGUCCACUCCCCUCUCUUGCAAGAGUGUCUGAAAGGCAACACCUAGCCAGGCGCUGUGCCCAGCUGCCUCUAACUCAGAGGCCUCCCUUCCCCCCCAUUUUCAAGGCCAACACCUUGACUCAUGCCCUUUUUUUUGGCUGUUCCCACAGCAUACAGAAGUUUGGGACCAGGGAUCAAACCCAAGCCACAGCAGUGACAAUGCCCAAUCCAUAAACCACUGGGCCACCAGAAAACUCCUGCCAGCCCUGCUUUAUUGACCUUCCUCUAAGAAAUUAAGUCAAUCACACAUAAUGAAUAUAUUGUGUUUAUGUUCAAAAAUUUUUUAAAAGCUCCCUAGGAGGUAGGGAAUGAAGUCAACAUGCCUGGCUUAGCAUUCACCUCUCCAUCACACCUCAGCCUUCCUUCCCAGUCUCCUUCCUGCCUAUGCUCCCCCAGAUCCCUCACUUUAGCCCAGUGUAUGUGUCAUUCUUCCUUAGAGUUGCCUUUUCCCUGUUGUUCUUCUCGACCUGGUAAAUACACUUGCUGUCACCUUGAGGGCCCUUCGCUUGUUUCACGCCUCCUUCAAAUCUGAGCUUAAAAGCCACCUCCUUUAGAAAGCAGAUCCGGAUCUCCUUAGCCCCAAAAUGAUCAUAUUAAUUAUGUUUAUUGGUCUUUGGGCCAAGUCAUAGUGCUUAGUACUUUAAUAUGCUUUCUUUCAUUUGAUUCUUCCAACAAUCUUACAUGGUCACGAACAAUAGGAUUCCGCUCUUAGACAAGUGGAAACUGAGACUCAGAAAGAGGAGCUAACCCGCCCACACUCCCAACCUCAAGAGACUGCAAAUCUCUACCUGACUCCAAAGUCACUCCACGAGAUUACUUCUUAUUUAGCACGUUCCUUGUACCUCUUUGGGGCCCUCAUCUUUUUGGGUGUUAUGUUUUCCUACAUAGCUCAUCUACUCAAUUCUACUGAUCUUCGUGAAGACAAGGAACUAUUCUUGUACACCUUCAGCUCUCCGUGUUGUGUCUGACUCAUAUCAGGCAGUGAAACAGAAAGCAAGAGUUAAUGAGUGCUUAUUGUGUGCAGCCAGCCCUGUGCUAGUUGCCAUGCCUUCCCAUACACACAGGUACACACACACACACACAUUUAUUUCAGUAUUAUUAGUCCCAUUUUACAGUGGAAGAAACAGAGCCACAGAGAGGUUAAAUAACUUUUCAUCACAUAAAAUACAAAGUUUAUUUUUGAGGAGUUCCCACUGUGGCUCAGUAGUAUCGAAUCUGACUAGUAUCCGUAAGGAGACGGGUUCAAUCCCUGGCCUCACUCAGUGGGUUAAGGAUCCAGCAUUACCAUGAGCUGUGGUGUAGGCUGGGAGGUACAGCUGAUUCGACCCCUAGCCUGGGAACUUCCAUAUGACAUAGGUGCAACCCUAAAAAGACAAAAAAGCUGUUUGAAAUAAUUGUAAUCCUUUGCAUAUAUUUCUUUUUCAAAAAUAAAAUUCUUCGAUUUGAAAUAUAGACUCAUACAAAUUUUUGAAGCUUACACAUCCUAAGAGGAAUUCAAUCUUGGGCCUUUCUGACUCCAAGGAUCAUUCCACUAUAGCCAUCUCAUUUUUGACAUAUUUGGAGGAAAUUUUUGAUACGUGGUAUUAGGAUUAAGGUCAGCUGUAUGUGACAGAAAUCUCAUGGUCCCCGUGAGGUUUAAUUCUUUCACACAUAAAAGAAGCCCAGAGGGAGGUGAUGCCCACCACGGUGGCAAAAGGCCAUCCUCUACCUGGGGUUUCCACCUUCUGGCCCAGGCUGGCUGCACCCCCAACAAGACAGAGAAAGAGCAGGAGGGAGGCCAUGUCUCCCGCAGUUAAGGCCACUUCCCAGAAGUCUCACGUGCCUCUUCUGCUUACACCCCAUCCCGUGGACCAGAACUUAGUUACUCAGCAACACGCAGCCAUAACGAAGGCCAGGCAAGGCUGACUUCAUUUCCAGCAGCCAUGAACCCAGCGCAACACCAGAAGCUCUACUGCUAAGGAGGAAGGGGAGAGCAGCUCUGUGGGGACAACCAGCUGUCCCCUGACACAGGUAUGAGUGGUUGGCUUUUAGAAUGUAUUUGCCCCGCUCUCUAAAACUGAUUCAUGCUUGGUAACAUGUCAUCCUUCUGACAUACUCUGGAGCCCUCUGUGGAGAAGAUUAAUACACACUGAGGAAAGAGAAAAGGUACCUGUUCUUCAAAGACCCCCAUUUCCAAACCAAAUGAUCAGUGAUCAUUCUCUGAUGGUCUAGUUGUCUGUUCUUGGGCAAAUCAAUUCCCCUCCCUAAAUCGCGUGACCUUCGGAAAGUCAUUUUACCACUGUGAGCCCCUUCUCUACCAGUUAAAUGGAGAUAAGCUAGAAAUAAUAUCUGCUUCAUAUAGGGUUGCUGGGCAGCUUAAAUGACAUCAUAAGAAAUGUGAGAAAUUAAUCUUGAUAAUAGAUUAUUUAACUCAGUAUAUCCCAAAUAAUAUCAUUUCGACAUGCAAUCAAUUUAAAUUGCUAAUGGGAAAUUUAACACUCAGUUUUUCAUACUUGAGUUUUUAAUUUUUUUUUAAUUUUUUAAUUGAAAUAUAGAUGACUUACAAUGUUUCAUGUAUGCAGCAAAGUGAUCCAGUUAUACAUAUAUGUGUAUGUGUAUAUGUGUGUUUGUAUAUAUGUGUAUGUAUAUAUGUGUGCAUGUGUGUGUAUAUAUGUGCAUGUAUAUAUGUGUGUGUAUGUGUGUGUAUAUGUGUGUGUGUGUAUAUAUGUGUGUGUGUGUGUAUGUGUGUGUGUGUAUAUAUGUGUGUGUAUAUAUGUGUAUGUAUUUAUGUGUGUGUAUAUGUGUGUGUAUACAUAUGUGUGUAUAUGUGUGUGUGUAUAUGUGUGUAUAUAUGUGUGUGUAUAUGUGUAUGUAUAUAUGUGUGUGUAUAUGUGUGUAUGUAUAUAUGUGUGUGUAUGUGUAUGUGUAUAUAUGUGUGUGUGUAUAUGUGUGUGUGUGUAUGUGUGUGUAUGUGUAUGUAUAUAUGUGUGUGUAUAUGUAUACAUAUUCUUCUUCAGAAUCUUUUCCAUUUUAGGUUAUUACAAGUAUUGAAUGUUGCUCCUUGUGCUAUAUAGUAAGGCCUUGCUAUUUAUCUAUUUUACAUAUAGCAGUGUGGAUCUGUUAAUGCCAAUUCCCAUUAUCCCUCCUCCUCCCCUCUUUCCUCUUUGGUAACUAUAAGUGUGUUUUCUAUGUCUGUGAGUUUAUUUCUGUCUUAUAAAUUAGUAUCUCCGCAUCAUUUCUCUCAGUUCCACAUAUAAGUGAUAUCCUAUGAUAUUUCUCUUUCUCUGUCUGACUUACUUCACUCAUUCAUACUUAGACUUUGAAAUGCAGUGUGUGUUUUACAUGUACAAGCAUCUCCAUUCAGACCAGGCACAUUUCAAGUGGCUGCUGGCUCCUAAGGUGAACAGUACAGACUGAGACUAAUUUACACGCCCUUUCAGAGUGCUCCCCUAGCAUCUUAAACUUACAAGUGCAAGUAUCUGUUUACUUGACUUAUGCACAAGCAACUCUCUUGAGGAGAGGAAAAGAGUGCUGUCCCCAGGGCCUAACAUAGUACCUGGCACAGAGCACUCAAUCAAUACUUGUUAAACAAAUAUUAUUCAUUUCUCUGCCCCCAAUGCCCAGCCCAGUGCUUGACCUUCAGUAGGCACUUAAUAAAGACUUAUUACAUUAGUGAAGUAAUAACCUGGUAUUUUAAUGGUAAGCGAAUUUGUGACUUGCCAGCAGGUGAAAACCAGGCAGUUUAUUGCAGAAGAGACAAUGGUACCUUUCUAGCCCUCAAAGUAACACCUGCUAUUAAGUCAAGUUUCCUUCACCACCUCCAUCCCCCCAAACUGAGCUGGAGCCAGAUGGUAGGCCUGCACAUUCUGGUAAGAUCACACAAUGCCUGGCCUGCCGUGAUAAGGAGACCUAUCAAGUUGCCAUGAGCAAAUAACACAAACUCCCAGCUAAGGCUUCAUUUCUCUGGUUCACUGUAUUCUAUUUCUUCCAAAAUUGACUCAGCACAGAGCCAGGUGAGAGGCUCUGAAAAGUUGCCAGCCCUUGUGCAAUAGAAAUCUAGGGAACUUUACAAAAAUAUCAAUAAAAUCCAUAAUGAUGGGACAUUUCAGCCUCAGCAGCAUCACUAGCUAGCAUGAUGCCCCGAAGCAACUUGUGGCCCCUCCUUGAGCCUGAACUUCCUCACCGGUAAGCUGGGAGUGGCCGCACAGACUUCUUUGGCCUUGAAGUCACAAAGACCCUAUGAGACCAGAGCUCCCUGCACGGGGAGGGCUCCCUGGACUUGUUCCUGCAAGGCUCUCCUAGGGCAUUUGCAAAGUGAGACAGCAUUAUUUUUGUCUUGCCAAUCAGCCACAAGCUGGAUGGUUGCCUUACAGUUAUGUAGAACUCCCCCGCCCCCACCCCCUGUGGACAACUAAAACACAAACACUAUUUAGAAAGAUCUGGGCCGAGUCAUCUCUUUGGAGCCUGGUGGCAGGCCAGGAGGCCGGUCACAAAGGCUGUAUUCAGCGGGAAACAGCAGCCUGAUGGGCAGGAGCCUUGUCCCAAACAUUCUUUACUAGGCUUGGUGGGGGGUGGGAGUGGGGAGGGGUUACCAGUCUCCCAGUGUUUGUUGCUGCGUCUCCACAGCAACGCGUUGGUGGUAGUGAAACCUUGAAACUGCACAUUGAAACUUGGGAGGUACUGCUAAGACAGGCCUGCUUGGGAGAAGGUUUUCUCCUGCACCUUCCCUUCCCUCUCUAACGGAAGAGUUUUCCGAGCUCCUUUCAAAAGGCAUUAAAGAGAUGCUAUUAUGCUAACAACACACAGCCCACUUACCUGCUCUAAGGAAAGUGAUAUGUGCAAAGACUGUAGCAGUUGCCCAGGACAGGUUUUAAGAGACUUACACCAAAUUGAGCAGCCUUGUAUGGUCUGCAGAGCUUAGCAGCAUGGUGUGCUGACUCGGGUUCUGGUACAGGUAAAUCCUACUUACCUGGGGGACUUUGGGCAAGUCACUUUCAGUAACUGAGCCCUUUCUUCAGAAAAAAAAAAAAAAAAAGUUUAAUGAAAUUAAACCCAAUUCCCAAUCCAAUAAGCUCUUAUUGAUGCCUACCCUGAAUUAGUGCUGGAAUUGCAAAGUUAAAAACAUGUAAUUAUUGAUGGGAGAGGGAUAAAUUGGGAAUUUGGGGUUAGCAGAUACACACUACUGUAUAUAAAAUAGAUAAACAACAAGGACCUACUGUCUAGCAUUGGGAACGAUAUCAACAUCUUAUAAUAACCCAUAAUGGAAAAGAAUAUGAAAAAGAAUAUGUACAUAUAUGUAAAUGAAUCACUUUGCUGUACACCUGAAAACACUGUAAAUCAACUAUACUUUAAUUCAAAAAAAAAGGCACUGCAUAUGGCCAUUGCCCUCAAGGAGCUCAUGUAACCUGCCAGGCAGAGUUGUAUUAAACAGUAGAGUGAAUCACACCACAUGCCUCCUGCCUGGCUCCCAGUGGAGACCAUUCAUCUCAGAGAAGUUUAUUUCUCUCCCUUCUUCAUUCUAGGCCACUUCAAACAAAGCCCCGAAAGAUGAAUAAGAGCCCAUGUACUUUCAUAAUGGUUCUACUUGUAUUCAAGAUACAUUUACCAAUUUGGACAAACUGGGAAGGAACUGAUCUUUCAUUGAUUACACCUUAUGUCUUCAUUACAGCAUGCUUUCACAUUCCACAUUCAUUGGUUUUCUUAACUACCUGCUGAACUUGGAAGGGCAAGAUGUUGUUUCCACCCUAGACUGAAGGUGCUGAGGUAUGAAGGGAAAUCAUCUGCCCAGACCACAGAGGGAGAUGGAGGCAGAGCUGGGAUUCAAAUUCUCGUUUCCCAAUUUCUUCCUUCAAAAAAUAUUUCUUGAUCAAGAAUCUGACAAGUACCCAUGAGGAUGUGGGUUCCAACCCUGGCCUCAUUCAGUGGGUUAAGGAUCCAGCGUUGCUGUGAGCUGUGGUGUAGGCUGCAGAUGUAGCUUGGAUCCCGAGUCGCUGUUGCUGUAGCCCAGGAGCUGCAGCUCCAAUUCGACCUCUAGCCUGGGAACGCCCAUAAUGCUGCAGGAGUGGCCCUAAAAAG